rnacentral:sRNA from 2 species
GCCGUUGUGAUAGAUCCUCCUGAUUUCUCCCGAGUAAUGCAACCUGCACGACAUUCAAUGGACGGUGCCCAAGACCCUUUAUACAUCCAUGCACCCAUGCGAAUACACCGGCGAUAAACUGAAUUGAUGAAUGCAUGGAUGGAUGCAGUUCUAUGUGGUUAUCGAAACAAUACACUGCAUAUACAAAACGUGCAUAUUUAGGGGGUGAGGAGGAGGGUGGCGAGGGCUAGAGGCUUCCGAAGGUAAUGAGGGAUAGAAUAUAGUUGUGUAGCAAGAAGACAAAACCCACCCACACUCACUUCGUCAAUUCUAGAUUUAGGCUGCG